CCUACGGGAGGCAGCAGUGAGGAAUAUUGGUCAAUGGCCGAGAGGCUGAACCAGCCAAGUCGCGUGAGGGAAGACGGCCCUACGGGUUGUAAACCUCUUUUGCCGGGGAGCAAAGAGCGGCACGUGUGACUCACUGAGAGUACCCGAAGAAAAAGCAGCGGCUAACCCCGUGCCAGGAGCCGCGGUAAUACGGAGGAUGCGAGCGUUAUCUGGAUUUAGUGGGAUUAAAGGGUGCGCAGGCGGGGAUGCAAGUCAGCGGUCAAAUUGCGGGGCUCAACCCCGUACUGCCGUUGAAACUGCAUCCCUUGAGUGCGCGAGAAGUAUGCGGAAUGCGUGGUGUAGCGGUGAAAUGCAUAGAUAUCACGCAGAACUCCGAUUGCGAAGGCAGCAUACCGGCGCGCAACUGACGCUGAUGCACGAAAGCGUGGGUAUCGAACAGGAUUAGAUACCCGAGUAGUC
rnacentral:rRNA from 1 species